AGAGCGAACGCUGGCGGCAGGCCUAACACAUGCAAGUCGAGCGCCCCGCAAGGGGAGCGGCAGACGGGAGAGUAACACGUGGGAACGUACCCUUCAGUUCGGAACAACCCAGGGAAACUUGGGCUAAUACCGAAUACGUCCGUAAGGAGAAAGAUUUAUCGCUGAAGGAUCGGCCCGCGUCUGAUUAGCUAGUUGGUGGGGUAAUGGCCCACCAAGGCGACGAUCAGUAGCUGGUCUGAGAGGAUGAUCAGCCUCAUUGGGACUGAGACACGGCCCAAACUCCUACGGGAGGCAGCAGUGGGGAAUAUUGGACAAUGGGCGCAAGCCUGAUCCAGCCAUGCCGCGUGGAUGAUGAAGGCCCUAGGGUUGUAAACCUCUUUUAUCAGGGAAGAUAAUGACGGUACCUGAUGAAUAAGUCACGGCUAACUACGUGCCAGCAGCCGC
rnacentral:rRNA from 1 species